rnacentral:rRNA from 1 species
AUUGAACGCUGGCGGCAGGCCUAACACAUGCAAGUCGAGCGGAGCGGCGGACGGGUGAGUAAUGCCUAGGAAUCUGCCUGGUAGUGGGGGAUAACGUACGGAAACGGGCGCUAAUACCGCAUACUAUCAGAUGAGCCUAGGUCGGAUUAGCUAGUUGGGGGGGUAAAGGCCUACCAAGGCGACGAUCCGUAACUGGUCUGAGAGGAUGAUCAGUCACACUGGGACUGAGACACGGCCCAGACUCCUACGGGAGGCAGCAGUGGGGAAUAUUGGACAAUGGGCGAAAGCCUGAUCCAGCCACGCCGCGUGAGUGAAGAAGGUUUUCGGAUUGUAAAACUCUAUAAGUUGGGAAGCGUUACCAACAGAGUAAGCACCGGCUAACUUCGUGCCAGCAGCCGCGGUAAUAC